CUGAGAGAACAGGACCUGUUUUGGGAGGCGAUGGGACCUUGGAGAACAUAUAUGGCAGAUCAGGAAUGUGUACACCGCUUGUAUCCUCCACUCCUCUUCCACACAGUGGAGUUGUUUCUUUUAGAGAUAUAUUUCUUUGGCCGGGAUAUUAGGAAUAUGAGAGAGUGCCAUGACAACUCUGGAGGACCAGAGCUUGCUGAGAGCCGUUCCUGCAAGUGGUUCUGUGACUCGGAAACUGACAACAGCUGCAUGCAAAGGAACAAAGAAUGAGACUGACAAUUUGGAGUGUGAGCAGUUCUGUACUAAUGCUGUGAAAGGCAUUUAUUGCGUGCAACUCAUUGGGAAUGCUUAUUUUGGAAAAGUAAAUCAUCUGAGCAAUUUUCAGGGCUUGCUGCAAACUGUUUUCAACUCUCCUCAUUCAAUCCAGCAGCCAGAGGCCUAUGAAGCUCUGUCAUUUCAUGAGAUUCAGUCACACAUACCUGAAGCCAUAUAUACCUCUCAAACCGGGGCAAUGAUUGGCUGGUGUAAUAUCUCUUGUUCAGUUAUCAACGCUUAUAUGAACUACUAUAUGGACAGCGAGUCAUACAGGAAUAAGACUGAGGAGUUGACCUACUAGAAUUGUUUUCUUGGACUAUAAAUUCAAGUUGCAUUUGAGGUAGAAAAAAGACAAAGCACGAACUGCACUAAAAUGCAAUAUUUUUUCAAAUAUGGGAUAUUAACCAUCACUGGCCUCUCUAAACUCAAAAUCCCGUGGUCAUAUGUCCAAAAACUGUUUGAUAAACAAUGGUAAAUCCAAGAUUAUGUGGUGACGCUUGUGAAGAAAAUUGCACUCUAGAUAUGUACUCUAAUAGUCUGGGAAAUAGUCGUUGCUUUCUUUGGCAAAUGCGGUAAGGUGGGAAGUUUUAGUCAUGUAAAUAUCUCCAUGUAUUUUCAGUCAUGUUCAAUACACGGCAAGGCUUAACUCAGUUGUAAAAGUGAAGGGAUGUGAACACUUUGCACAUGGCAAAAAAGAGAAAUGUCUAUUUUUUCAUUGUUUCUUUUGCUGUUUACUUCUCUCUAUUAUGUUUUUGACCAGUGACUUAGCUUUCCACCAGAUACCACAUUUAUGGGCAAUACUAUUUCCAGGAUUUAAUUGGUCUUUAUAUUGUAGAGACAAAGAAUAAAACUUGCAGUCACUCUGAAACUGACGAAGUU
rnacentral:lncRNA from 1 species